UUCAUACAAACGGGGAUGAAAUAUACGAUCUGGCAUUGCAUAGCAUUUUUCACGACGAAAACUCCAUCGGCAUUAUUUUCCCUACCUUCUUUACUGCCGCUUCAUCCGUUCGUGUAUUAUGGAGAUGUUUCAGAUUCUUGGCACGUUCUUCUCAACAAGCACUCGUGCGUCUUGCAAGUUUGCCAUCAAAUUGGAAUCGGCAGGAACACAAAAGAGGAGAAGUAGGUAAAGGACCGUGUAAGACAGACAGCGGAGAGUGGUCCUCGUGUUAACGUGGACUCUGAAGAGAAGAAAGGAGAGCUUCUCGAGUACCUCUGUCGUGAAGUAGAGAAACCGUUUGACUCUCGAACAGGAUGAGAGAGUCUGCCUAAUUUUCGAGUUAUCCUCUGAUGCGAGCAAUAAAAUCAACUCAUUGUUUACAAAGUGAAAGUUAAAGAAAACAUUUCAUGUGUUAUACGAAAUGAAAAAAGUGAAUUAUUCAUGAAGAAUAGAAAGAAAGAUAGAUGGAAAGAGAGACAGUUCACACAUUCGUUUAGAACGUGAAAUGGUCAAAAUAUUUUCCACGAACUGGACGCCAAUAAGGGAACUAACGGAGCAUCAAUAACACGAAUAGCAGAGUUGCAAGCAAGCAAGCAGACUCUCUCGAAGUCGUCCACGCAGUCUGUGUUGAUCCCAUCGAGCGUGCUAUCCACUUAAAUUUACAUCUCAAGUCGGAGACUCCUUAUCCCAAGUACCAGACUGCAACCUGAUGAAAUGAAUGGCUGUUCUACAGCUACUGUACCACUGUACAUAACACCUUCGUACUUCUGAAUCCAGUCUGUGUGUCUGCAUCUAACAUGAUAUCGCCACGUGUUUACGAAGAUGUUUAUACCUGCAAUACCUAAAUAAGUCCUCGUAAACGUUUGAAGGGUUUUACUAUGGAAGUCGCACGUGAUGUCUGUGAUGUCUCUCACUAGGCAUACAAUUUCUGCAAGAUGAUGUGCGUGCAUUACUGUUACCUGCCGAGUUCCAAACACGUUACAUCUGUCAAGGCACUUUAUUACUUUCUAGGUAUCUCAUCGUAUGAAUAGAUACAUAUAUAUGUACGUACGUACGUACAUACAUAUUAUAUACAUACUUAGGUAAACUAGAAUUCUAUUCCAUAGAAACUCUAUGGACGAUGAUCAUUAGCGUGGCAGAUACAUUUGGGUAAACGGAAACUUUAUCACCAAGAGUGAAUAAUUCUAUCGUCCUAGGAUGCAAUUCACGACGGCUCAUUCCUGUUAUGCAACGUAACGAGAUACAAUCGAUAGAUAUGGACAUGAAAUGGGUCCAUGUAUCUAUUUGCGACGGUCUGUGACAUGAAACUUGGACGUUCACAAUUGAGGCAUUUUCCUUCCCGAACUUUACGACUCCUUACGGGACAUCUACCGCUUGAGUAUCAUUAAUGUUAAAUCGUGGAGGAAAGCUGAGGGAUUCGAAAAACGACGAUAAGAAGAUACGUUCCUUUUAGUUUUACGUUACCAGUUUAAAUGAGUAGAAGAAAACGAAAGAAGAAGAGUCGUUUGGAAGUUCUUAGAGGAAAGUAGAGAGGUGUCCCUUCAAUCCCUGGAGGAUUAUUGCUUCUUGUCAGCGAGAGUCCGUAAGUGGCCCGUCUAUCAAGUACGUCAGGAUACCUCGAUGAAAGAUUCCUUGUGAUUUUUCUUUCUCUGAGGCUACCGAGAAGAGUAACGCACAACUCCUAGACACGAUAUUCUACUAGAUGAUAUAAUCGAUCGUUCGACGAUGGAUCGGAUUUCUUAAGAAAUGGGAGAUAAAUUUCCUUGUGAAAAAUU